AGUAGGAGAAUUGCCAUAUUUUCCCAGAGCCCAGCUAAGGAGGAGAGAGAGAGCCUACUGAAAAAGCAGAAAGGGAGUGCGUUAGUAAACUACUCACCCAAAAUAUUACCAUGUCCAUGCUGUGGAGGCAGUAUGACUUGCUCAGUACAUGGGAGUCAUGAUAAAAUCUGGGAAAGCGGAUAAACUGCAAUUUAUGGUUACAACACAACACGCUCUUGGAAUAUGCAUGCCUUUGCUUUCUACAGGCAACAUUGUAUACCUUGGGAAGACAAGCCCCAUCUGCUGCUAUGCCUAGAACUCAUGCUGAGGAUGAGCCACAAGAAAGAAGAUACAGACGCACUACACUACUUGACAUACUAGCACACCACUGCAUAGCAGUGUGGUACAAUGGCAAUGUAUAACCUGGUGAUAAAAGCAUUUUCUUCUAUGCAAUGGGAGUC